rnacentral:rRNA from 1 species
GGGGAAUAUUGCACAAUGGGCGCAAGCCUGAUGCAGCAACGCCGCGUGCGGGAUGACGGCCUUCGGGUUGUAAACCGCUUUCAUCCAUGACGAAGCGCAAGUGACGGUAGUGGGAGAAGAAGCACCGGCUAACUACGUGCCAGCAGCCGCGGUGAUACGUAGGGUGCGAGCGUUGUCCGGAAUUAUUGGGCGUAAAGAGCUUGUAGGCGGUUGAUCACGUCGGAAGUGAAAUUCCAGGGCUUAACUCUGGGCUUGCUUUCGAUACGGGUUGACUUGAGGAAUGUAGGGGAGAAUGGAACUCUCGGUGGAGCGGUGGAAUGCGCAGAUAUCGGGAAGAACACCAGUGGCGAAGGCGGUUCUCUGGACAUUUCCUGACGCUGAGAAGCGAAAGCGUGGGGAGCAAACA